rnacentral:rRNA from 1 species
AGAGUUUGAUCCUGGCUCAGGACGAACGCUGGCGGCGUGCUUAACACAUGCAAGUCGAACGGAAAGGCCCCUUCGGGGGUACUCGAGUGGCGAACGGGUGAGUAACACGUGGGUGAUCUGCCCUGCACUCUGGGAUAAGCCUGGGAAACUGGGUCUAAUACCGGAUAGGACCGCAUGCUUCAUGGUGUGUGGUGCAAAGCUUUUGCGGUGUGGGAUGAGCCCGCGGCCUAUCAGCUUGUUGGUGGGGUAAUGGCCUACCAAGGCGACGACGGGUAGCCGGCCUGAGAGGGUGACCGGCCACACUGGGACUGAGAUACGGCCCAGACUCCUACGGGAGGCAGCAGUGGGGAAUAUUGCACAAUGGGCGCAAGCCUGAUGCAGCGACGCCGCGUGAGGGAUGACGGCCUUCGGGUUGUAAACCUCUUUCAGUAGGGACGAAGCGAAAGUGACGGUACCUACAGAAGAAGGACCGGCCAACUACGUGCCAGCAGCCGCGGUAAUACGUAGGGUCCGAGCGUUGUCCGGAAUUACUGGGCGUAAAGAGCUCGUAGGUGGUUUGUCGCGUUGUUCGUGAAAACUCACAGCUUAACUGUGGGCGUGCGGGCGAUACGGGCAGACUAGAGUACUGCAGGGGAGACUGGAAUUCCUGGUGUAGCGGUGGAAUGCGCAGAUAUCAGGAGGAACACCGGUGGCGAAGGCGGGUCUCUGGGCAGUAACUGACGCUGAGGAGCGAAAGCGUGGGUAGCGAACAGGAUUAGAUACCCCGGUAGUCCAA